AGACGAACGCUGGCGGCGUGCCUAAUACAUGCAAGUCGAGCGGACAGAAGGGAGCUUGCUCCCGGAUGUUAGCGGCGGACGGGUGAGUAACACGUGGGUAACCUGCCUGUAAGACUGGGAUAACUCCGGGAAACCGGAGCUAAUACCGGAUAGUUCCUUGAACCGCAUGGUUCAAGGAUGAAAGACGGUUUCGGCUGUCACUUACAGAUGGACCCGCGGCGCAUUAGCUAGUUGGUGGGGUAAUGGCUCACCAAGGCGACGAUGCGUAGCCGACCUGAGAGGGUGAUCGGCCACACUGGGACUGAGACACGGCCCAGACUCCUACGGGAGGCAGCAGUAGGGAAUCUUCCGCAAUGGACGAAAGUCUGACGGAGCAACGCCGCGUGAGUGAUGAAGGUUUUCGGAUCGUAAAGCUCUGUUGUUAGGGAAGAACAAGUGCGAGAGUAACUGCUCGCACCUUGACGGUACCUAACCAGAAAGCCACGGCUAACUACGUGCCAGCAGCCGCGGUAAUACGUAGGUGGCAAGCGUUGUCCGGAAUUAUUGGGCGUAAAGGGCUCGCAGGCGGUUUCUUAAGUCUGAUGUGAAAGCCCCCGGCUCAACCGGGGAGGGUCAUUGGAAACUGGGAAACUUGAGUGCAGAAGAGGAGAGUGGAAUUCCACGUGUAGCGGUGAAAUGCGUAGAGAUGUGGAGGAACACCAGUGGCGAAGGCGACUCUCUGGUCUGUAACUGACGCUGAGGAGCGAAA
rnacentral:rRNA from 1 species